rnacentral:rRNA from 1 species
UACGUAGGGUGCAAGCGUUGUCCGGAAUUAUUGGGCGUAAAGAGUUCGUAGGCGGUUUGUCGCGUCCGUUGUGAAAGCUUGGGGCUCAACCCCAAGUCUGCAGUGGAUACGGGCAGACGUAGAGUCAGGUAGGGGAGAACGGAAUUCCUGGAUGUAGCGGUGAAAUGCGCAGAGUAUCAGGAGGAACACCGGUGGCGAAGGCGGUUCUCUGGGCCUGUACUGACGCUGGAGGAACGAAAGCGUGGGGAGCGAACAGG